rnacentral:rRNA from 1 species
GACGUAGGGGGCCAGCGUUGUUCGGAAUUACUGGGUGUAAAGGGUUCGUAGGCGGUGCGGCAAGUUGGGAGUGAAAUCUCUGGGCUUAACCCAGAGGCUGCUUCCGAAACUGCUGUGCUUGAGUGUGGGAGAGGCGCGUGGAAUUGCAGGUGUAGCGGUGAAAUGCGUAGAUAUCAGGAAGAACACCCGUGGCGAAGGCGGUUCUCUGGGACGGUACUGACGCUGAGACGCGAAAGCGUGGGGAGCGAACAGG